GGCCGCGUCGACGCCUCAUACAGGGGGAUAACAGUUAGAAAUGACUGAGUGGCGACGGGUGAGUAACGCGUGGGUAACCUGCCUCAUACAGGGGGAUAAACGCUGGCGGCGUGCCUAACACAUGCAAGUCGACGAAGCACCUGACGAUUCUCGGAUUGAAGUUCUUGUGACUGAGUGGCGGACGGGUGAGUAACGCGUAGGUAACCUGCCUUGUAGCGGGGGAUAACUAUUGGAAACGAUAGCUAAUACCGCAUAACAAUGGAUGACACAUGUCAUUUAUUUGAAAGGGGCAAUUGCUCCACUACAAGAUGGACCUGCGUUGUAUUAGCUAGUAGGUGAGGUAAUGGCUCACCUAGGCGACGAUACAUAGCCGACCUGAGAGGGUGAUCGGCCACACUGGGACUGAGACACGGCCC
rnacentral:rRNA from 1 species